rnacentral:sRNA from 16 species
GUCAAUAACCCCGGCCUGAAGGCUGCCUGAAGGCCGAGGCUUGCUGAGGAGCAUCUCACAAGUCUGAGAUUGACCAGACCGAGCGCCUUAUGGCGCUACGUUUUGCAGAAGACAGCAGACCCACCGGCGAAUGCUUCACUCAGUUCGCCGCUCUGGA